AUCCCAAAUAGACAAUUUUGUGUUUAUUUGAUUCAUGGGAGGCCCACAUUAAUAAUGGAAGUCCGCUGAUAGCACCUCAUUAUUUUGCAGGAGGUGUAGUAAUAGUACCUGACCAUACAAUA